rnacentral:rRNA from 1 species
UACGUAGGGUGCAAGCGUUGUCCGGAAUUAUUGGGCGUAAAGAGCUCGUAGGCGGUCUGUUGCGUCUGCUGUGAAAACCCGGGGCUCAACUCCGGGCCUGCAGCCGAUACGGGCAGACUAGAGUUCGGCAGGGGAGACUGGAAUUCCUGGUGUAGCGGUGAAAUGCGCAGAUAUCAGGAGGAACACCGGUGGCGAAGGCGGGUCUCUGGGCCGAUACUGACGCUGAGGAGCGAAAGCGUGGGGAGCAAACAGG